GCAGCAGCAGCAGCAGCUAAAGCAGCAAAAUACGGUGCUGGAGGCGUUCCCGGCGUGGGAGGCGUUCCCGGCGUGGGAGGCGUACCUGGCGUGGGAGGCGUACCUGGUGUAGGGGGCAUACCUGGUGCAGGGAUCCCCCAGAUUGGAGCACAGCCCGGAGCCAAGCCCCCGA